rnacentral:sRNA from 1 species
AAAUUGGUGGAUUUCAAGUAAUCAAGCAAUCAAAGGUGGUGAAUCCUCCAAUAAAGGCAAAAAAAUUGUACCCGAGGAUCAACAGUCGGAGUACUUUAAAACUUCGACUCUCGAAAUACCUAUUAGAGGGGCAC